CGGCAGCUUACCAUGCAAGUCGAGCGGAGUGAUGGUGCUUGCACUAUCACUUAGCGGCGGACGGGUGAGUAAUGCUUAGGAAUCUGCCUAUUAGUGGGGGACAACAUUUCGAAAGGAAUGCUAAUACCGCAUACGUCCUACGGGAGAAAGCAGGGGAUCUUCGGACCUUGCGCUAAUAGAUGAGCCUAAGUCGGAUUAGCUAGUUGGUGGGGUAAAGGCCUACCAAGGCGACGAUCUGUAGCGGGUCUGAGAGGAUGAUCCGCCACACUGGGACUGAGACACGGCCCAGACUCCUACGGGUGAAGAAGGCCUUAUGGUUGUAAAGCACUUUAAGCGAGGAGGAGGCUACUGAAGUUAAUACCUUCAGAUAGUGGACGUUACUCGCAGAAUAAGCACCGGCUAACUCUGUGCCAGCAGCCGCGGUAAUACAGAGGGUGCAAGCGUUAAUCGGAUUUACUGGGCGUAAAGCGCGCGUAGGCGGCUAAUUAAGUCAAAUGUGAAAUCCCCGAGCUUAACUUGGGAAUUGCAUUCGAUACUGGUUAGCUAGAGUGUGGGAGAGGAUGGUAGAAUUCCAGGUGUAGCGGUGAAAUGCGUAGAGAUCUGGAGGAAUACCGAUGGCGAAGGCAGCCAUCUGGCCUAACACUGACGCUGAGGUGCGAAAGCAUGGGGAGCAAACAGGA
rnacentral:rRNA from 1 species